CGUAGGAGGCUUCUUCGUACUCUCACUGUGUCCGUGACUGAGUUUUGAUAUUAACGAUGUUCCAUAUAAUGCUUGUGCAUUACCUUACUUUCACAAGCAUGAUUUUACUCGCUCCAUGCGCACAUGGCAACAGUGGGCUGAGAAAGCUUCUUCAAAUGCCGGGCCGCUUACGAAGACACUUAACUACUGGGACCACAUGAAACGUUGUGGAAUUCUAACACUCCAUCGCUAUGGCAGACGUCAUUGCGAGCUUUUUGUAUGGGAUAACAAAAUACGGCAAACAUAUGAAGAACGUCGAAGCUAUACAGACUGUCAAAAUGAAUUCAGGACGUACUGUAGAAAUGCAACUUUCUUGGUUCAGCUUCAUCCCCGUUGUCCGAAUUUCGUCCCAGUAACUCAGCAUGCUUAAUUACGUUAAA